rnacentral:tRNA from 1 species
GGUGAGUGUAGCUCAGUUGGUUAGAGCAUCGGGUUGUGGCCCCGAAGGCCGGGAGUUCGAGCCUCCUCACUCACCU